UACGUAGGGGGCAAGCGUUGUCCGGAAUCAUUGGGCGUAAAGAGCGCGUAGGCGGCCCAGUGAGUCCGCUCUGAAAGUCAGGGGCUCAACCCCUGGAUGCGGGUGGAUACUGCUGGGCUAGAGUCCGGAAGAGGCGAGUGGAAUUCCUGGUGUAGCGGUGAAAUGCGCAGAUAUCAGGAGGAACGCCAACGGCGAAAGCAGGCAGCUGGGGAUGCACCGACGCUGAGACACGAAAGCGUGGGGAGCAAACAGG
rnacentral:rRNA from 1 species